GUUAGGAGGAGAUUUUGAAAGAAAAAAAACCUGUAAGUUCUCGCCAGUUUCUUCAAUCCAGCAAAUGUGUGGACCCUGCGGGUUUUGACGUACGAGAGCUAUUCGAGAUGGUACAUGAGGAGUUCAUGGCAGGGAUAUCUCCUAACCAAGUUACCCUAAUUUUAUGGAGGUUCUGGAAUGCUUGAAAGGAUUGGACCUAAAGGUUGUGUGCGGAACAACAUAGCACGAAAGAAAUAAGAAUUUGGCGAAAGCUUUAAGCUGAGCAUAAGCUGUUUUAGAGAAUUCAGAUUAUCGAGAUCAGCAGGUUGUUCGUGGCAAGGAAAGACAAACAAGAGGUUGAAUGACUUAUCUUCAUAUGCAUGUGUCGUACUAGUUUGGAUGGUUUCUUAUGCUUCUUCAUAUGUAUUAGAUGCAUGUAUUUGACAUAUGUUUCAAGUUAUCAGAUGUAUGAACUUGUAUUGAUGUUUAUAUUCAUUCGGUCGAAAUUCUGUUGUAA